AUGGAGAAAUUCCUGACAGUGUCUCUGGUGAUGCUGUGGCUUCAGCCGGCCAGGGUGAGCAGCCAGCAAGGAGACCAGAACCUUCCGGCCCUGAUCGUCCAGGAGGGUGAAAAUGCCAUCCUGCACUGUAGCUGCAGCACUGCUAUAUCCAGCUCACACUGGUACAGGCAGGAUCCAAGGAGAGGCUUUACACAUCUGAUUUCGAUACGUUCAAACGAGAAAGAGAAACCGAGUGGAAGACUACGAGCCACGCUCCGCACCUCCGUCAGAAGCAGCUCCCUGCUCAUCACAGCGUCCCAGGCUGCGGACGCUGCCACUUGCCUCUGUGCCACGGGUGCGCAGGGCUCAGUAGGCGUCUGCAGCCCCAGCACAACCCUGUCUCUCAGAAGCCCCGGCAGUGUGUAGAGUUGGUGGCUAUGUCUCCCCACAGAGGAGAGUCUGCCGGCAGCUGGCAACACGAAAGGGAGGCUGUCUCAAAUAACGGACGAUUUUGGCAGCACCUUAGGCUGGGCUGGACUGGGGUAAAGGGCGUGAGAUUUAGAGCAGGAGACUG